GGUUAAGCGACUAAGCGUACACGGUGGAUGCCCUGGCAGUCAGAGGCGAUGAAGGACGUGCUAAUCUGCGAAAAGCGUCGGUAAGGUGAUAUGAACCGUUAUAACCGGCGAUGUCCGAAUGGGGAAACCCAGUGUGAUUCGUCACACUAUCGUUAACUGAAUACAUAGGUUAACGAGGCGAACCGGGGGAACUGAAACAUCUAAGUACCCCGAGGAAAAGAAAUCAACCGAGAUUCCCCCAGUAGCGGCGAGCGAACGGGGAGCAGCCCAGAGUCUGAAUCAGCUUGUGUGUUAGUGGAACGGUCUGGAAAGUCCGACGGUACAGGGUGAUAGUCCCGUACACCAAAAUGCACAGGCUGUGAACUCGAAGAGUAGGGCGGGACACGUGGUAUCCUGUCUGAAUAUGGGGGGACCAUCCUCCAAGGCUAAAUACUCCUGACUGACCGAUAGUGAACCAGUACCGUGAGGGAAAGGCGAAAAGAACCCCGGCGAGGGGAGUGAAAAAGAACCUGAAACCGUGUACGUACAAGCAGUGGGAGCACCUUCGGGUGUGACUGCGUACCUUUUGUAUAAUGGGUCAGCGACUUAUAUUCUGUAGCAAGGUUAACCGUAUAGGGGAGCCGCAGGGAAACCGAGUCUUAACUGGGCGUUAAGUUGCAGGGUAUAGACCCGAAACCCGGUGAUCUAGCCAUGGGCAGGUUGAAGGUUGGGUAACACUAACUGGAGGACCGAACCGACUAAUGUUGAAAAAUUAGCGGAUGACUUGUGGCUGGGGGUGAAAGGCCAAUCAAACCGGGAGAUAGCUGGUUCUCCCCGAAAGCUAUUUAGGUAGCGCCUCGUGAACUCAUCUUCGGGGGUAGAGCACUGUUUCGGCUAGGGGGUCAUCCCGACUUACCAACCCGAUGCAAACUACGAAUACCGAAGAAUGUUAUCACGGGAGACACACGGCGGGUGCUAACGUCCGUCGUGAAGAGGGAAACAACCCAGACCGCCAGCUAAGGUCCCAAAGUCAUGGUUAAGUGGGAAACGAUGUGGGAAGGCACAGACAGCCAGGAUGUUGGCUUAGAAGCAGCCAUCAUUUAAAGAAAGCGUAAUAGCUCACUGGUCGAGUCGGCCUGCGCGGAAGAUGUAACGGGGCUAAACCAUGCACCGAAGCUGCGGCAGCGACACUAUGUGUUGUUGGGUAGGGGAGCGUUCUGUAAGCCUGCGAAGGUGACCUGUGAGGGUUGCUGGAGGUAUCAGAAGUGCGAAUGCUGACAUAAGUAACGAUAAAGCGGGUGAAAAGCCCGCUCGCCGGAAGACCAAGGGUUCCUGUCCAACGUUAAUCGGGGCAGGGUGAGUCGACCCCUAAGGCGAGGCCGAAAGGCGUAGUCGAUGGGAAACAGGUUAAUAUUCCUGUACUUGGUGUUACUGCGAAGGGGGGACGGAGAAGGCUAUGUUAGCCGGGCGACGGUUGUCCCGGUUUAAGCAUGUAGGCUGGUUAUCCAGGCAAAUCCGGAUAAUCAAGGCUGAGGUGUGAUGACGAGGCACUACGGUGCUGAAGUAACAAAUGCCCUGCUUCCAGGAAAAGCCUCUAAGCAUCAGGUAACAUUAAAUCGUACCCCAAACCGACACAGGUGGUCAGGUAGAGAAUACCAAGGCGCUUGAGAGAACUCGGGUGAAGGAACUAGGCAAAAUGGUGCCGUAACUUCGGGAGAAGGCACGCUGGUGUGUAGGUGAAGUCCCUGCGGAUGGAGCUGAGACCAGUCGAAGAUACCAGCUGGCUGCAACUGUUUAUUAAAAACACAGCACUGUGCAAACACGAAAGUGGACGUAUACGGUGUGACGCCUGCCCGGUGCCGGAAGGUUAAUUGAUGGGGUUAUCCGUAAGGAGAAGCUCUUGAUCGAAGCCCCGGUAAACGGCGGCCGUAACUAUAACGGUCCUAAGGUAGCGAAAUUCCUUGUCGGGUAAGUUCCGACCUGCACGAAUGGCGUAAUGAUGGCCAGGCUGUCUCCACCCGAGACUCAGUGAAAUUGAACUCGCUGUGAAGAUGCAGUGUACCCGCGGCAAGACGGAAAGACCCCGUGAACCUUUACUAUAGCUUGACACUGAACAUUGAGCCUUGAUGUGUAGGAUAGGUGGGAGGCUUUGAAGCGUGGACGCCAGUCUGCGUGGAGCCAACCUUGAAAUACCACCCUUUAAUGUUUGAUGUUCUAACGUUGGCCCCUUAUCGGGGUUGCGGACAGUGUCUGGUGGGUAGUUUGACUGGGGCGGUCUCCUCCCAAAGCGUAACGGAGGAGCACGAAGGUUAGCUAAUCCUGGUCGGACAUCAGGAGGUUAGUGCAAUGGCAUAAGCUAGCUUGACUGCGAGCGUGACGGCGCGAGCAGGUGCGAAAGCAGGUCAUAGUGAUCCGGUGGUUCUGAAUGGAAGGGCCAUCGCUCAACGGAUAAAAGGUACUCCGGGGAUAACAGGCUGAUACCGCCCAAGAGUUCAUAUCGACGGCGGUGUUUGGCACCUCGAUGUCGGCUCAUCACAUCCUGGGGCUGAAGUAGGUCCCAAGGGUAUGGCUGUUCGCCAUUUAAAGUGGUACGCGAGCUGGGUUUAGAACGUCGUGAGACAGUUCGGUCCCUAUCUGCCGUGGGCGCUGGAGAAUUGAGGGGGGCUGCUCCUAGUACGAGAGGACCGGAGUGGACGCAUCACUGGUGUUCGGGUUGUCAUGCCAAUGGCACUGCCCGGUAGCUAAAUGCGGAAGAGAUAAGUGCUGAAAGCAUCUAAGCACGAAACUUGCCCCGAGAUGAGUUCUCCCUGAGACUUUAAGUCUCCUGAAGGAACGUUGAAGACGACGACGUUGAUAGGCCGGGUGUGUAAGCGCAGCGAUGCGUUGAGCUAACCGGUACUAAUGAACCGUGAGGCUUAACCUU
rnacentral:rRNA from 1 species